rnacentral:tRNA from 1 species
GCCGGAGUGGCGGAACUGGCAGACGCAGCGGAUUCAAAAUCCGCCGGGCGCUCGCGCCCUUGUGGGUUCGAGUCCCACCUCCGGCACCA